rnacentral:lncRNA from 12 species
AUGGCCUUUACAAGUGACCAAGACUUAAAGGUUUCCGAACAGUGUGAGGAUAAUCCGUAUGGAUUUAAUGGUGUGGUGGUGUAUGAUGAUGGAACCUAUAGCAUGACUCCAGGAUUUAUCCCAGAUAUGACUGGCUACAAUCAAUACUUUACUAGAUGUGGAAACGGCUUUAUUGCUGGAGUCAUUAAUGCAGACCAUCGGAAUAAUGCUCGGGCAUCUCGUCAAAUGCUGUCAGGGAAUGUUGCAGUUACUGUGUCUGCUAUAUCGACCCCAAUGAACACUCGCCACCAACCAGGAGGUCGUCACUUGGACCCGCCUUUUACUGAUGGUGAGACAUUAGACGUAUUGGUAUUUCAGCAAAGUGAUAUAAGAUUUAAGACUACCAAAUGCAAACCUACUGCAGUAUGGCACAUUAUCUAA